AUAAAUUUUUCAGAUUUGAAAAUAUGACUAUCAAAAGUAGAUGGAGGGAGUAUCUGAUGUGUGGGCCAUGUGUCCACUUUGAUAUUAAAUUUAUUUUUUGUGGGGGAGGGUCCACCAUGGUGGCUUGCCACUAGGGCCCUCGUGUGUCGCCUAGGAGUUGCACUACAGCCCGGGCUGGCGCACCCCAA
rnacentral:snRNA from 1 species